UUGCGGACAGCAACAACAGC
rnacentral:misc_RNA from 1 species